AUUGAACGCUGGCGGCAGGCUUAACACAUGCAAGUCGAACGAGUGGCGGACGGGUGAGUAAUGCUUGGGAAUCUGGCUUAUGUAGGGGGUUACCGACGGGAAACUGUCGCUAAUACCGCGUACUAUAGGAUGGGCCCAAGUGGGCUUAGGUAGUUGGUGGGGUGAUGGCCUACCAAGCUGACGAUCUCUAGCUGGUCUGAGAGGAUGACCGGCCACACUGGAAAUGAGACACGGGCCAGACUCCUACGGGCGGAAGCAGUGGGGAAUAUUGCGCAAUGGGCGCAAGCCUGAUGCAGCCAUGCCGCGUGUGUGAAUAAGGCCUUCGGGUUGUAAAGCUCUUUCAGUGGGGAGGCGUUACCCGCAGAAGAAGCACCGGCUAACUCCGUGCCAGCAGCCGCGGUAAUAC
rnacentral:rRNA from 1 species